GCAAGUCGAACGGAAACGAUAGUAGCUUGCUACUAGGCGUAGAGUGGCGGACGGGUGAGUAACGCGUAGGAAUCUGCCCAGUUGUGGGGGAUAGCCCGGAGAAAUCCGGAUUAAUACCGCAUACGCCCUACGGGGGAAAACAGGGGAUCGUCGGACCUUGUGCAAUUGGAUGGGCCUGCGUUAGAUCAGCUAGUUGGUGGGGUAAGAGCUCACCAAGGCAACGAUCUAUAGCUGGUCUGAGAGGAUGAUC
rnacentral:rRNA from 1 species